UACGGAGGAUCCAAGCGUUAUCCGGAAUCAUUGGGUUUAAAGGGUCCGUAGGCGGUUUAGUAAGUCAGUGGUGAAAGCCCAUCGCUCAACGGUGGAACGGCCAUUGAUACUGCUGAACUUGAAUUACUGGGAAGUAACUAGAAUAUGUAGUGUAGCGGUGAAAUGCUUAGAUAUGACAUAGAACACCAAUUGCGAAGGCAGCUUGCUAACCGAAUAUUGACACUGAGGCACGAAAGCGUGGGGAUCAAACAGG
rnacentral:rRNA from 1 species